AGAACGAACGCUGGCGGCAUGCCUAACACAUGCAAGUCGAACGCUCUUGGUUUCGGCCAAGGGAGUGGCGCACGGGUGAGUAACGCGUGGGAACCUGCCCUGGAGUGGGGGAUAACCGAGGGAAACCUCGGCUAAUACCGCAUACGACCUGAGGGUGAAAGAUUUAUCGCUCUAGGAGGGGCCCGCGUCGGAUUAGCUAGUUGGUGAGGUAACGGCCCACCAAGGCUAUGAUCCGUAGCUGGUCUGAGAGGAUGAUCAGCCACACUGGGACUGAGACACGGCCCAGACUCCUACGGGAGGCAGCAGUGGGGAAUAUUGGACAAUGGGCGCAAGCCUGAUCCAGCAAUGCCGCGUGAGUGAUGAAGGCCUUAGGGUUGUAAAGCUCUUUCACACGCGACGAUGAUGACGGUAGCGUGAGAAGAGCCCGGCUAACUUCGCGCCAGCAGCCGC
rnacentral:rRNA from 1 species